UACCGGCGGCCCGAGUGGCGGUCACUAUUAUUGGGCUUAAAGCGUCCGUAGCCGGGUUGGGAAGUCCUCCGGGAAAUCUGGCCGCUUAACGGUCAGAAUGCCGGAGGAUACUCCCAGCCUAGGGAGCGGGAGAGGCCGAGGGUAUUCCCGGAGUAGGGGUGAAAUCCUAUAAUCCCGGGAGGACCACCUGUGGCGAAGGCGCUCGGCUGGAACGCGUCCGACGGUGAGGGACGAAGGCCAGGGGAGCAAACCGG
rnacentral:rRNA from 1 species